GAUGUUGUGGUGUCUACAUGCAGGUAUGAUACAUUUGAUGCUUGACAGAAAGACAAGUUGGUUUUUUUCUGUUCAAGUUUCAUAUUCCUCAAUCAUAGCAUAUGCAAUUGUAUAAAUGCAAGUAAUGACCUAUUAAUGAUGUUCUGAUACAUGGAAUGUGAUGUUUUCAAGUAAAAAGAUUGGGAGGAGAAGAGGGGUUAAUUUGGCCAUUAUUAAUAUUGCAAAAUGAAGGCUUUUGUAACACCACAUUAAAAUAAAUACAUAAAUAAAAAAAUAAGAUGCAAUAAUGCCUAAUGUUGAGAAUAAAUAUUAGAGAAGUGAAAUUCAAUCGAACUAACCAAACUCACCAGUAAGCUGUGCUAGUGUUGAGUUUUGGCUUUGUAUAUAUAACAUCUUGGGCCGUGUUUUUGUGCCCCAACUUUUUGAUUUUUGAAUGUGUAAAUGGCUAUUCUGCCUUAAUAUUACCUUGACUUCAACUGAACUGCCAUCUCCGAG
rnacentral:misc_RNA from 1 species